UACAGAGGGUGCAAGCGUUAAUCGGAAUUACUGGGCGUAAAGCGCGCGUAGGUGGUGUGUUAAGUCUGCCGGUCAAAUGCCGAGGCUCAACCUCGUUGCACGCCGGGGGAUACUGGCACGCUAGAGACAAGUAGAGGCAAGCGGAAAUUCCUGGUGUAGCGGUGAAAUGCGUAGAUAUCAGGAGGAACACCGGUGGUGUAAAACGGCUUUCUGGACCAUAAACUGACGCUGAGGCACGAAAGCGUGGGUAGCAAACAGG
rnacentral:rRNA from 1 species